rnacentral:misc_RNA from 1 species
UAUAUAGUAGGUUUGGGAGGUAUCUCUAGACUUCCCAAAUCUCCUUCAAGCAUCUCUACAACUUUAUUCAUUGAAGGGCGAUCACCAGGCUUCAUUUGUAUGCACCAUAAUGCUACUGUAAUCAUUUUCUUUGCUAUUUUCUCUUCAUCCUUUGUGCCAUUUCUAAUCGCAACUUUUCCAUCAACUACUUCGUUAUAUACCCAAUUGGGGAAGUAGGUUUGGCUGGAAUGUUCUGCCUCUGCAUUCAAAUUCUUCUUCUUUCCAACCAUUUCCAUUAACAACAUUCCAAAACUAUAAACAUCAGCCUUGUAUGAAAUACCACCAAUGUUUUUGUAGAACAAUUCUGGUGCUAUAUAUCCUAUUGUUCCUCUUGCUGCAGUAAGAGACACUGUAUUGUCGCUUGUUUUGUGAAGUUUUGCAAGCCCAAAGUCAGAAACUUUUGGAACAAAAUUCUCAUCAAGAAGAAUGUUAUGAGGUUUUAUGUCAAA